GUUUAGCCCUGAUUGCAGCAUUGUUGGAGCUCCUUGAAAAGAGCGACUGCAAAAGCAGGAAAUAGC
rnacentral:sRNA from 1 species